UCGGGUAUGGUGUAGCGGUAACAUCGUUGACUCUCACUUCUUCAGGAGUGACUGCUCUCUCUCAACAGCCCCGGGUUCGACUCCCGGUAUCCGAG
rnacentral:tRNA from 2 species